GAUGAAGAACGUAGCGAAAUGCGAUAAGUAAUGUGAAUUGCAGAAUUCAGUGAAUCAUCGAAUCUUUGAACGCACAUUGCGCCCGCCAGUAUUCUGGCGGGCAUGCCUGUUCGAGCGUCAUUUCAACCCUCAGGGCCCUUUUGGACCUGGCGUUGGGGCUCGGCCGCUACCCUGCGGCCGUCCCCGAAAGAUAGUGGCGGUCUCGCUGUAGCCUCCUCUGCGUAGUAAUUACAUCUCGCACUGGAACGCGGCGCGGCCAUGCCGUUAAACACCCCACUUCUCAAGGUUGACCUCGGAUCAGGUAGGAAUACCCGCUGAACUUAAGCAUAUCAAUAAGCGGGGA
rnacentral:misc_RNA from 1 species